CGUGAAUAUUUAAGGACCUGUGUGACAAAAUCAUAUUUCAUUACACAAAGCAGUCCUAAGGACUUCAUCACAUCGGAGUUUGUGAAGAUGUUCUGGUGAUGAAUAAAUACCAUGUUAUUUAUAAUUGAUUCAAAUACAUUUACAAUUAACAAUUGAUUGGAUUUAGGACACAAUUCCUAACAACUCCCACUUGACCUAAAACCAAUCAGUACAGUAUCGUAUACCCAUCUUCAAGUAAUGAUGGUCAAACUCCUUUACACUGAGGGCCUUAGUGAAGGGGUCGGCUAAGUUAUCCUUUCC
rnacentral:lncRNA from 1 species